rnacentral:rRNA from 1 species
GAUGAACGCUGGCGGCGUGCCUAAUACAUGCAAGUCGAGCGAACAGACGAGGAGCUUGCUCCUCUGACGUUAGCGGCGGACGGGUGAGUAACACGUGGAUAACCUACCUAUAAGACUGGGAUAACUUCGGGAAACCGGAGCUAAUACCGGAUAAUAUAUUGAACCGCAUGGUUCAAUAGUGAAAGACGGUUUUGCUGUCACUUAUAGAUGGAUCCGCGCCGCAUUAGCUAGUUGGUAAGUUAACGGCUUACCAAGGCAACGAUGCGUAGCCGACCUGAGAGGGUGAUCGGCCACACUGGAACUGAGACACGGUCCAGACUCCUACGGGAGGCAGCAGUAGGGAAUCUUCCGCAAUGGGCGAAAGCCUGACGGAGCAACGCCGCGUGAGUGAUGAAGGUCUUCGGAUCGUAAAACUCUGUUAUUAGGGAAGAACAAAUGUGUAAGUAACUAUGCACGUCUUGACGGUACCUAAUCAGAAAGCCACGGCUAACUGCGUG